rnacentral:rRNA from 1 species
UACGUACCGUACGAACGUUAUUCGGAAUUACUGGGCUUAAAGGGUUUGUAGGCGGCCUUGUAAGUCAGGUGUGAAAUCCCUCGGCUCAACCGAGGAAUGGCGCUUGAUACUGCAAGGCUUGAGGGAGACAGGGGUAAGCGGAACUGAUGGUGGAGCGGUGAAAUGCGUUGAUAUCAUCAGGAACACCGGUGGCGAAAGCGGCUUACUGGGUCUCUUCUGACGCUGAGGAACGAAAGCUAGGGUAGCGAACGGG